rnacentral:rRNA from 1 species
GAUGAACGCUGGCGGCGUGCCUAAUACAUGCAAGUCGAGCGAACGGACGAGAAGCUUGCUUCUCUGAUGUUAGCGGCGGACGGGUGAGUAACACGUGGAUAACCUACCUAUAAGACUGGGAUAACUUCGGGAAACCGGAGCUAAUACCGGAUAAUAUUUUGAACCGCAUGGUUCAAAAGUGAAAGACGGUCUUGCUGUCACUUAUAGAUGGAUCCGCGCUGCAUUAGCUAGUUGGUAAGGUAACGGCUUACCAAGGCAACGAUGCAUAGCCGACCUGAGAGAGGGGUCGGCCACACUGGAACUGAGACACGGUCCAGACUCCUACGGGAGGCAGCAGUAUGGAAUCGUCCGCAAUGGGCGAAAGCCUGACGGAGCAACGCCGCGUGAGUGAUGAAGGUCUUCGGAUCGUAAAACUCUGUUAUUAGGGAAGAACAUAUGUGUAAGUAACUGUGCACAUCUUGACGGUACCUAAUCAGAAAGCCACGGCUAACUACGUG